UUGUUGGAUUAUACCAAGUGCUAAGACAGGGGUUCUUGGUUUUGGACUUUUGGCAUUUUGGUGGUUGUGCUUGUGUUAAUAUGGAUGAAGAAUAUAACAAGCUUGGUGAAGCCGGCCAUCGAUCUUAACAUCAGGACAAUUUUAUGAUCAACAAUCAUCAUCAAUAGAGACUUGCUCAUCUUCUUCAACUGAAUUUUAAACUCUGAAUUUCCACUUCAUUGCGGUUGUUGUUUGCUCCAGUGUUUCACUUUUCUCUAAGUGUGUGAUAGUUCAACAUGGCGGAAAGAUAUACCAUCAAUAUAAUCACUCCCAAUACUAAAGAUUGGACCUGUAAAGUCCAAGUUGUUGAUAAAAGUCGACCAAGGGACAACAAAGAUAAAACCACAAAAUACCAAGUCUUAAUUCUACAAGAUGAAGAGGAGAAUCAAGUUCAGGCCACUAUUUACAGUACUGAUAUAACAUAUUUUGAAAAAGAAUUUGCUCCUUUCAAGACUUACUUGGUAUCUGUUGCACAAGUGAAAGUACCACCUCUUGGAUAUGAAAAUUCGCUUAACAAAUUCAUUUGGAAACUUGAUAAAAACGCCAUUGUUGAACCAGUUGAAGAGGUCAAACCUCCACAGGAUCCAUUACCACCACCAACACGACUAGCUCUUACCACAUUUGACACUUUUGAGAAUCAACCCAAAGAAUUUGAAUUUGAUGUACUCGCCAUUGUCAUUAAUGGUAGUCCUUCAACAAAGACUACAACUGGAAAGCGAAUUCAAGAGUUUAUUGUCAUGGGCAAGCUGAAAAAACCAACAAAACCGACACUUUGGGAGGAUUUUAUUGAUCAUGAGGGAGUUAAACUUUUCAACUAACUUCAUGAUUACCCGAUCAUUCUUGCUAGGAAAAUUGGGAAAUCAUCCUAAGGAACGUCGAAUAGAUUUGUUGGUUUGACGAGCAAAUUCAAUACAACAAUUGAAAUCAAUCCUCCAUAUCCACAAGCUGCUGAGUUAAGGACGUGGAUCAAACCAAUUGAAACAAAGCUUGUUUCUUA